AAAAUGCGUGCCGAACUUCUCCUGCAGCAUCAUACGCAAUUUUGUUGGUUGGGCACCCGUUUCCAGGGAAUCUUUGGCAAAGAUUAAAGCCUCAGAUGGCAUAUGUCUUCAAUCAAAUGUCGAGGUUUUCACAUGCUCCUCAGAUACCGGAUGAUUCUGAUGUUCCAAGUUUAAGUUGGUGAUCUUAAAUUUAUGCUGGUCGGAGUCAUAGACAAAUUGAAUUUGCACCGGACAACCGUUGGCCAUUACAUUUUGAUUCAGCCGCAAUUCCUUUUUGGCACGAGACUGGUGACAUCCAAAAUGCGGGCAAAUGUAUUGGAUCCUGUAGUACCCCAAGCUAAGAUCUAAUUUUAGCUUAUUUUUGGGGUUUUUAUUGUACACCCUGAUAGAUUCCGUUCUAUCGCGCCGCAAAUAAACGUUUUCCUUCUCUAA